rnacentral:rRNA from 1 species
AUCGAACGCUGGCGGCAGGCCUAACACAUGCAAGUCGAACGAGUGGCGGACGGGCGAGUAAUGUCUGGGAAACUGCCUGAUGGAGGGGGAUAACUACUGGAAACGGUAGCUAAUACCGCAUACCAUCAGAUGUGCCCAGGUGGGAUUAGCUUGUGGGUGGGGUAACGGCCCCCCAAGGCGACGAUCCCUAGCUGGUCGGAGAGGAUGACCAGCAACACUGGAACUGAGACACGGUCCAGACUCCUACGGGAGGCAGCAGUGGGGAAUAUUGCGCAAUGGACGCAAGCCUGAUGCAGCCAUGCCGCGUGUAUGAAGAAGGCCUUCGGGUUGUAAAGUACUGUCGGCGGAGAGGCGUUACCCGCAGAGGAAGCACCGGCUAACUCCGUGCCAGCAGCCGCGGUAAUAC